rnacentral:rRNA from 1 species
GACGAACGCUGGCGGCGUGCUUAACACAUGCAAGUCGAACGAAGUGGCGAACGGGUGAGUAACGCGUAAUCAACCUGCCCUUCAGAGGGGGACAACAGUUGGAAACGACUGCUAAUACCGCAUAAUGAAGGAGGGGAUUGCGUCUGAUUAGCUAGUUGGAGGGGUAACGGCCCACCAAGGCGAUGAUCAGUAGCCGGUGUGGGAGGGAGAACGGGCAAAUGGGAAAUGGGGAAAGGCCCAGAACCCUGCGGGGGGCAGCAGUGGGGAAUCUUCCGAAAUGGACGAAAGGCCGGCGGAGCCAAGCCGCGGGAGUGGUGACGGCCUGCGGGUUGUAAAGCUCCUUUAAGCGGGGCGCGGUACCGGAAUAGAAAGCAACGGCUAACUCCGUGCCAGCCGCCGCGGUAAUUC